GACGAACGCUGGCGGCGUGCUUAACACAUGCAAGUCGAACGGAAAGGCCCUGCUUUUGCGGGGUGCUCGAGUGGCGAACGGGUGAGUAACACGUGAGUAACCUGCCCUUGACUUUGGGAUAACUUCAGGAAACUGGGGCUAAUACCGGAUAGGAGCUCCUGCUGCAUGGUGGGGGUUGGAAAGUUUCGGCGGUUGGGGAUGGACUCGCGGCUUAUCAGCUUGUUGGUGGGGUAGUGGCUUACCAAGGCUUUGACGGGUAGCCGGCCUGAGAGGGUGACCGGCCACAUUGGGACUGAGAUACGGCCCAGACUCCUACGGGAGGCAGCAGUGGGGAAUAUUGCACAAUGGGCGGAAGCCUGAGGCAGCAACGCCGCGUGCGGGAGGACGGCCUUCGGGUUGUAACCGCUUUCGCCUGUGACGAAGCGUGAGUGACGGUAAUGGGUAAAGAAGCACCGGCUAACUACGUG
rnacentral:rRNA from 1 species